rnacentral:lncRNA from 1 species
AAAAGGUUGGGGUAAAAGGUUCCGUUGGUUUAAUGCAAGGGAACACAUCACACCUUAAAUUCUGGGGGCUUAGUUGGUAACAUGGGGGAGUGGCAUGAGUAGGUAGCAGUGUGUAAGGGAGAAAAAAACCAAUCCUUUUUCUGUAUUUCAAUUUUGUUAAGCUUCAUUUCAGGCUUCCAGAAUUGAGAAUCAGUUGCCUGCUACAAGAAAUUGCUAAUAAGCAGUAGUAAUUAAAGACUGAGAAUUUAUUCUUUCCUUUCCAAACCUGAUGUCACUCCCAGAUGGAGAGAUGAGUACCGGUUAGGCAAUUCAGCAUUUUGGUAAAUUAAGGCAGCAGGAUUUGGUGUCUCCUCGAUCGUGUGGAGGCAGAAAGUAUUCUAGGAAGAAACACUUGUGUUUUAUUUCGUGUGCCCAUUGCAAUCAUUUACAAAUUUUUGCUUUGCUUUACAAAACCAGGAGAUGAGGUGGGCACUUGCAUCUUAAAAAUGAGGGCUGGGACUCUAAAGACACUAAUUCAUAAACUUUUCAUAUUGUUAUGUCUUUGGGAUUGUUGUCUCUACAUAAAUGACAAACAACUGAAAAAGACGGAUAAAUUCCAGCAAAUUCAAUACCCAUUGAUAGAAAAGAACUGGCAUGUCAGAAAGCAGUGUGAAUACACUGCGCUCCUCUCCUUUAUUUAGAAAAACCACACAAAAAUACAGCACUGUUGAUGUGUUUGUUACCAGGAAAGUAGAAUCAGCCACUGUGUAAAAGAUAAAAUAAGACUGCACGGAUAUCAGGAUUUUCCCAGCGUGCUGUGCUUUAUUCAUAGACAUCUGAUAGAAGAGGACCUAACAGAGCUUUUAGGAAAAACUGAAUUCUCAGCCCACAGUCACUUUCCAGGAACUUCACUGCAAACAGUGCUCUGUGCUGGCGGGAUGGAGAUCUUAGCAAUCUCCCUCCUGCUUCUAUAGUUUCCUUCUCUCUAAAUACAAUUCUUUAUGGGGACUUAAUGAGAGAGCAAGCCUUGUGUGAAAGGAACUCAAGAAAGUGAAGCUUCUAAAAAUAUACCCAGGCGGCUCUACGGUCCUUAUUGUUGCAAACUGACGUUUUGCAGUUCAUGCCAUGAACCUAACAACUCUACACACACACACACACACGAAGAAAAAAAGUAAAGACUAUGUUUUUUUCUUUCUGCAAUCCCCUAAACUUCGAGUAAACAGUAUUCAUUUUCUGUUGUCAUACUCAAUGCAAAUUUCCCAAAGAGGACACAAUACCUAACAAAAGACCUGUUACCGUCCUUAGAGCUGGGGGAAGAAUGGCAGGAGGACAGGGGCAAAGUUGAUCUUGGUCCAGCUUCUCCUGAGCCUGGGGUGCUGAACCUCCAAUCACUCUGAUCUUGCAGAGGUUUUUUGAGUUUCAGUUCCCUUUCGGGAAGGUUCCCGGGCCCCUUCUCCUCUGCGAGUCCCUUAUCAUUAAAUCCUCAUCUCUCGCCCUCUGCUUCCAGCUUUUUGGAGAAAUUGGACCUCAGCUUAGGCGUCUUUUUUCCAGUGGACUGAAAAAAGUACAGCUGCUGAUGGGAAGAUAAAUAUUAAACACAUGGGCAGGGGGGCGACGUGAGGGUCUGCCAGAGGGCCCCGUCUUCCUCAUUCCACUACGCUGGGAGGCAGCGCUCCCGGAUGGGGUGCUGAGAGGGGUGAGGGUGGGGUGAAGGGAGACGGACAGAGCAGGCAGUAAGGGAAGAAGGCCCUCUAGGAAAGAUCAUCUCGACUGAACAUGACAAGAGAAAAAAACUGGCCCACAUGCCCCUAGUGGGGAGCGAUGCACCCCACGCAGGCUGGGGGGGGGCUGCCUCGGGGCUUCUCACCUGACUUCCUCCUCCGCUGGCACAUAGACUACAAUCACCCCUUCACCGCCCCCCCCAAAAGAAAAGCUCAGCCAAACAACCAACAACAAGAGGAAGCCGCAGGCAGCAAGAGGAGGGGUGCGCGCGGUGGGGGCCCCGGCGAGGUGAGGGGGCAGGGUUGGCGAGCGGCGAGCACCGCGCCGCGCACCCCCGGGCGCACUCCCAGCGCCCACACUUACCCCUGGCAGAGGAGGGUCCGGUCUUCGGCGCCAGCCCCAGGGCGCGCCCCCCACCCGCCAUCGCCCCUCGGCCCGCCGCCCCCCACACCCCGGCCGGCGCGCUGGGAGGGAGCCUGGGAGCGGCGCGCGGCGGCGGCGGCGGCUCGGGCUCGGCUCGGCUCGGGCUCCAGCGCGCCUGCUGGUGCCGGCGGCCGCCGAGGCUCCACCGCCAGGGGGAGAAGCCGGGGCGGGCGCUGGGGAGGCGGGUUGGGCCCUCGCCGCCCCGCCGGCCAGCCCGCGCACAAGCUCCGAAGCGGCGGCGGCGCGGGGUCCGCCGAGCCCCCGGGCGCAGCGUGCCCGGCCGAGGAGCCGCGGCUGGAUGCGCGCCCCGGUGGCUGCGGGCUCCCGCGAGGGGCGCCCCGGCCGCUCCGGUGCGCCUCCAGACUGCGGGCGCGGCGGCCGCCGAGCCGAGAGCAGCUCCCGCCGGCCCCUUUCCCCCUCCCGCCCCCAGCCGCCCCCUCCCCCUCCCCUCCCCCCGGUAACAUCUCCUCCCUCCCCCCUUCUCUUCCUUCCCUCGGCCCCGCGCGCUCGCUCGCUCGCUCCUCGCCUCGCUCUCCCCUUUAAACGCCCACUUCGGAUGGGGAAAGAAGACAACUUGAAGUCAAGUUGCAAUUAACUUCCGCGGCAGCCGCAGCUCCGGCGGCGGCGGCGGCACAAGAGCAGAAGCCGCCGCCUCGGAAGUCCGACGCCGGCGCGCCCGCCCGGGGAGCCGUGCCUGGUCUCCGGCCCGCGCUCGACAGCCACUGCCGCCCCCAACGCCCAUGCCUGAGGUGUGGACACACUAACACACCUGCCCGACAGAUCCUGGCUGAACAAACUCCUUCAGGUCAUCGGUGUGACUCCUUUUGGAAGAGAAAAGGGGAGUCGAAAAGGCCGAAGGAUCAAAUGGGGAAAGGGAGAGCCUCUCUAUGCGCCCCAGAGCCGGGCUGGCAGAAAGGUGCCCGGCUGAGUAGGCUGGGGGAGUGGAAACGUUCCCCCGCCGGAUCGCGAGUAAGCUCAGCAUCCUUCCUCGGUCCACGUUCGCCUUCCUCCGCCCCCCGCUGGCGCGGCGGCUUGGGAGCGGCGGCGGAGAGGGGCCUGGGAAGUUUGCGGCAACUUCUCCAUCCCGGGAGCCACUCGGGCGCCGGGGCGCUCAAGUUGGAGUCGGGAGUUUGAAAGCCGCGGCGCUCUGCGUUUCGAGCCCUCGCCGGCGGUAGUGAGGUCCAGAAGGGGCUCCUGGCGUGAAUGUAGAUUAGGAGUUUGGCUGGAGGCAGGAAGAGGUGCUGCCCUCUUUGCGGGGACCGAGACAUCACAGGUGCGGCCUCGGGGUCCGCACCGUGUCUCCCUCCUGCGGUCCCGACCCGAGCGUGGCGGCCUUCUCCGAGCGCUCCACUGCCGAGGCUCCCGGGGCGGCAGAGCGUGGGUUUGGGCAACCACGAGGAGAGGGUCGAAGCAGGCAGGUCCGGGGAGUGACACGUGCGUUCCGGGGAAGUGCACUGAGCAGGACUCCUGGGAUGACCCCAGGAGGCAGAGAGGGGCUUAGGGCUCUAGCUGGAGGUUUUGGCCCGGACCUCCACCAGGGCGUUGCAAAUUUUAUUUACGAGUGUCAACCACAGGAUCCCCUCUCUAAGUCUCCUAGCUGGCAAUUUUGACCCCUGCGCCCUUCCUCGGCGAACUUUCUCAGCGGCAUUCCGGAUUUCCAGGCAAAUGUUGUAAGACUUGGACUCCACAUGGUUGUAAAAGAGACAGGGAAAGCAGAAAGACGUCUUACUCUCAGGAGAGAACCUUUCUGCCUUGACUGGCUGGGGUUCCAUGCUUGCAUCUCUGGAGGCCAGGGGACCUGACUUUCCCAAGAGGACAAGGAGGGGUAAGAAUGAGUAAAAUGCGACCGCACAGUGUGAGGUUUGUCCUCAGUAGUCCCGAAAAUCUACAGUGUUCGUGCUGCUGAAGUAACUCAUCCCGUUGAAACUUUAUUAAUAGACAUUUACACCUUACGUAAAGUGGAUUUUUCUGAGAUGUCAGGAAUGUAAGAUUUAUUCUGUAGUCAAACGUAGCUGCGAAAACCCCCCUUACUUGAAGACGGGAGAAAGCCAAGGUUGAGGUGUUUGCUGUAAAAACCUUUAAUCUGCUGUGUGGUACCAGUGCUGAGAUGUAGCAGCGGUCCUUUAUUUCUAUGCAUAUUAUUUUAGUAGAACAGUAGUACAUUCAUAUACUGGCUGCUCCAGUCUGCUGGCAAACAUUAGCAUUCAAGCUUACAUUUUUGACAAAUGUGCAGACAGGAAUAGCAUGAAUAGGCAUCUUAAAUAUUAACAACCUAAGCAUCUGUUGUGAAACAAAUUUAAUAUAUUUACUCUGUUUUUCUCACAUUGUUAGAAAAGGUUAUAAUAAGUGCAUAAUUUCAACUUUAGUUAGCAGAAGUAACUGGCUGUAUCUUUCACUACCUCUCCAAGUGUUUAACACGAUCACCAGACAUAAAUACUUUAACUAACUUGGUUAGGCACAUUAUUAAACACACUUUAGACAACGUGCAUCCUAUGUAAAAUGGAACAGUAGCAAAAUAUGUAUCCUAUUUGUGCACAUUUUAAAUGACUAUGCAUUUUAUAAAUAUACCGAGCAUGUUUAUUCUUCAUCUCCAUUUGACACUUAUAACUUCAUAUUUUUUCUAAUGGAAACAAUAUUUUAAGUGUAGAGUUGUUCAGUCAUAUGUAAUAUGUAAUAUGUAAACAGUAGCUACAAAAUACAAAGCAUUGUUAAAUUUGAGUAUGGCUGCAUGUAACAAGAUUAUACAAGAGAAAUAAAAAUCACUGCUCAAUUUUGUAUUCCUUUCUGAAUAAAGAAUACAAAUGAUGGAUGACAAAAGAAGAAAUAGGGAUUUCCCUUCUACAGUACUAGUGCCUUA